GGCCGAGUCAGCACGUAGUUUGCAUUCCAGA
rnacentral:piRNA from 1 species